AUUGAACGCUAGCGGGAUGCUUUACACAUGCAAGUCGAACGGCAGCGCGGACUUCGGUCUGGCGGCGAGUGGCGAACGGGUGAGUAAUGUAUCGGAACGUGCCCAGUAGCGGGGGAUAACUACGCGAAAGCGUAGCUAAUACCGCAUACGCCCUACGGGGGAAAGCAGGGGAUCGUAAGACCUUGCACUAUUGGAGCGGCCGAUAUCGGAUUAGCUAGUUUGUGAGGUAACGGCUCACCAAGGCGACGAUCCGUAGCUGGUUUGAGAGGACGACCAGCCACACUGGGACUGAGACACGGCCCAGACUCCUACGGGAGGCAGCAGUGGGGAAUUUUGGACAAUGGGGGCAACCCUGAUCCAGCCAUCCCGCGUGUGCGAUGAAGGCCUUCGGGUUGUAAAGCACUUUUGGCAGGAAAGAAACGUCGCGGGCUAAUACCCCGUGGAACUGACGGUACCUGCAGAAUAAGCACCGGCUAACUACGUG
rnacentral:rRNA from 1 species